rnacentral:pre_miRNA from 1 species
CCGAGCCUCGAGCUCGCCGGAUCUGGCGGCGGAGCUCGCGGCUUGCCAGAUCCAGCCGAGCUCGAGCUCUGUCGCCAGAUCCGGCGAGCUCGGGUGAGA